UCACCCCAGAGGAAGUUCUGCUUUAGGUCUGUCAUACUUUCAUUUCCCAUCUCAUUCCUUUUGAACGAAUGGGUAUGGGGAUGGAGGGUGACACUGGCUCUCAUUGGUUGCAUGGACUUAGGAUCCUUUGGCCCCACUUCUUAGAAAUGUGGGUCAGUUUCCAUUAAAGAAUAAACAGCAGAAGGGUUUCAAAUUAGUGUCCUCCUCUCUUCCUGACAUUGUGCCUUCAUUAUGUUUGAACAGUUUUUUUCUUUCUUUCACUCUUUCAGAUAAGGGUGACCAAGAUAAAGCCAAGUCCCGUGAAGGUAUGAGGUGGUAUCUCCAAAAUGAGCACAGAAGACAAUCAAACAAAACCUCACCGAGAUAGGAAAGCAUGGAACAGACUCAGGAUUCUCAGAGGCAUGAUGACAAACUUCUGAAGAUAUUGGAAAAUCUUCAGGAAAAAAUUGAUAAGGGUGACCAGGAUAAAGCCAAGUCCCAUGAAGGGAUGGAUCUUGAGAAU